GUGCUCCCGUUCGCAGCACAGACACUAAGAUGAGAGACACAGAGAUCAGCAUGGGCCCUGAGCAAGGACGACAUGCAAAUCUGUAAACGCUUCUUCCAUUUU